GUAGUCCAUGCCGUAAACGGUGGGCGCUAGGUGUAGGGGUCUUCCACGACUUCUGUGCCGUAGCUAACGCAUUAAGCGCCCCGCCUGGGGAGUACGGCCGCAAGGCUAAAACUCAAAGGAAUUGACGGGGGCCCGCACAAGCGGCGGAGCAUGUGGAUUAAUUCGAUGCAACGCGAAGAACCUUACCUGGGCUUGACAUGUACGGGACCGCCGCAGAGAUGUGGCUUCCCUUGUGGCUCGUAUACAGGUGGUGCAUGGUUGUCGUCAGCUCGUGUCGUGAGAUGUUGGGUUAAGUCCCGCAACGAGCGCAACCCUUGUCUUAUGUUGCCAGCACGUAAUGGUGGGGACUCGUGAGAAACUGCCGGGGUCAACUCGGA
rnacentral:rRNA from 1 species